GUGAACGCUGGCGGUAGGCCUAACACAUGCAAGUCGAACGGCAGCACCGUAAGAGCUUGCUCUUACGGGUGGCGAGUGGCGGACGGGUGAGGAAUACAUCGGAAUCUACUUUUUCGUGGGGGAUAACGUAGGGAAACUUACGCUAAUACCGCAUACGACCUACGGGUGAAAGCAGGGGAUCUUCGGACCUUGCGCGAUUGAAUGAGCCGAUGUCGGAUUAGCUAGUUGGCGGGGUAAAGGCCCACCAAGGCGACGAUCCGUAGCUGGUCUGAGAGGAUGAUCAGCCACACUGGAACUGAGACACGGUCCAGACUCCUACGGGAGGCAGCAGUGGGGAAUAUUGGACAAUGGGCGCAAGCCUGAUCCAGCCAUACCGCGUGGGUGAAGAAGGCCUUCGGGUUGUAAAGCCCUUUUGUUGGGAAAGAAAAGCAGCAGGUUAAUACCCCGCUGUUCUGACGGUACCCAAAGAAUAAGCACCGGCUAACCUCGUG
rnacentral:rRNA from 1 species